ACAACAUCUCCUCCCCGCUGAUCCUCAACACUGGGGCCCCACAAGGGUGCGUUCUGAGCCCUCUCCUGUACUCCCUGUUCACCCACGACUGCGUGGCCAUGCACGCCUCCAACUCAAUCAUCAAGUUUGCGGACGACACAACAGUGGUAGGCUUGAUUACCAACAACGACGAGACGGCCUACAGGGAGGAGGUGAGGGCCCUCGGAGGGUGGUGUCAGGAAAAUAACCUCACACUCAACGUCAACAAAACUAAGGAGAUGAUUGUGGACUUCAGGAAACAGCAGAGGGAACACCCCCCCAUCCACAUCGAUGGAACAGUAGUGGAGAGGGUAGCAAGUUUUAAGUUCCUCGGCAUACACAUCACAGACAAACUGAAUUGGUCCACUCACACAGACAGCAUCGUGAGGAAGGCGCAGCAGCGCCUCUUCAACCUCAGGAGGCUGAAGAAAUUCGGCUUGUCACCAAAAGCACUCACAAACUUCUACAGAUGCACAAUCGAGAGCAUCCUGGCGGGCUGUAUCACCGCCUGGUAUGGCAACUGCACCGCCCUCAACCGUAAGGCUCUCCAGAGGGUAGUGAGGUCUGCACAACGCAUCACCGGGGCAAACUACCUCCCCUCCAGGACACCUACACCACCCGAUGCUACAGGAAGGCCAUAAAGAUCAUCAAGGACAUCAACCACCCGAGCCACUGCCUGUUCACCCCGCUGUCAUCCAGAAGGCGAGGUCAGUACAGGUGCGUCAAAGCUGGGACCGAGAGACUGAAAAACAGCUUCUAUCUCAAGGCCAUCAGACUGUUAACCAGCCACCACUAACAUUGAGUGGCUGCUGCCAACAUACUGACUCAACUCCAGC
ensembl:lncRNA